rnacentral:rRNA from 1 species
UACGGGGGGGAGCAAGCGUUGUUCGGAUUUACUGGGCGUAAAGGGCGCGUAGGCGGCGUGACAAGUCACUUGUGAAAUCUCCGGGCUUAACUCGGAACGGUCAAGUGAUACUGUCGUGCUAGAGUACAGAAGGGGCAACUGGAAUUCUCGGUGUAGCGGUGAAAUGCGUAGAUAUCGAGAGGAACACCUGCGGCGAAGGCGGGUUGCUGGGCUGAUACUGACGCCGAGGCGCGAAAGCUAGGGGAGCGAACGGG